rnacentral:rRNA from 1 species
CCUACGGGCGGCAGCAGUGAGGAAUAUUGGUCAAUGGGCGGAAGCCUGAACCAGCCAAGUCGCGUGAGGGAAUAAGGCCCUACGGGUUGUAAACCUCUUUUGCCGGGGAGCAAGGGCCGGCACGUGUCCCGGCCCGGAGAGUACCCGGAGAAAAAGCAUCGGCUAACUCCGUGCCAGCAGCCGCGUUAUUACGGAGGAUGCGAGCGUUAUCCGGAUUUAUUGGGUUUAAAGGGUGCGUAGGCGGCCUGUUAAGUCAGCGGUAAAAGUUCGGGGCUCAACCCCGGCCGGCCGUUGAAACUGGCGGUCUUGAGUGGACGAGAAGUAUGCGGAAUGCGUGGUGUAGCGGUGAAAUGCAUAGAUAUCACGCAGAACCCCGAUUGCGAAGGCAGCAUGCCGGCGGCCGACUGACGCUGAGGCACGAAAGCGCGGGGAUCGAACAGGAUUAGAUACCCGAGUAGUC